rnacentral:rRNA from 1 species
UACGUAGGGUGCAAGCGUUGUCCGGAAUUAUUGGGCGUAAAGAGCUCGUAGGCGGUCUGUCGCGUCUGCUGUGAAAACCUGGGGCUUAACCCCGGGCCUGCAGUGGGUACGGGCAGACUAGAGUGUGGUAGGGGAGACUGGAAUUCCUGGUGUAGCGGUGAAAUGCGCAGAUAUCAGGAGGAACACCAGUGGCGAAGGCGGGUCUCUGGGCCAUAACUGACGCUGAGGAGCGAAAGCGUGGGGAGCGAACAGG